CUCAACUAAAGCAUUUACUAGUCCCAGUAUAGGCGAUAGAAAAGACACCAUUGGAGCGAUAGUGACCACGUACCGUAAGGGAAAGAUGAAAUAGUAGUGAAAUAUCAUAAGCUAAAAACAGCAAAGAUCAACCCUUGUACCUUUUGCAUCAUGGUCUAGCAAGAAAAACCAAGCAAAAUGAAUUUUAGUUUGCCACCCCGAAACCCAAGCGAGCUACUUACGAGCAGCUAAUCUUGAGCGAACCCGUCUCUGUUGCAAAAGAGUGGGAUGACUUGUCAGUAGAGGUGAAAAGCCAAUCGAGCUGGGUGAUAGCUGGUUGCCUGUGAAACGAAUCUAAGUUCACUCUUAAUUCUUCUCCAAGGAAAAUCAAAACCCUAAUGAAGCGAAUUAAGGGCUAUUUAAAGGAGGUACAGCUCCUUUAAAAAAGAAUACAAUCUCUACGAGCGGAUAAAUAAUUAUGAUACAAACUUACUGUGGGCCCUCAAGCAGCCAUCAACAAAGAGUGCGUUAAAGCUCUGUACUCCAAAAAUAUAAGAACUAUAUGACUCCCUCCUCACUAACGGGCUAACCUAUGCCAAUAGGAGAAUUAAUGCUAGAAUGAGUAACCAGGGUUCUCCCUCUUCGACGCAAGCUUACAUCAGUACAUUAUUAACAAGCCACCAUAUACGA
rnacentral:rRNA from 1 species